UAAUCAUUGCCCUUUUUUCCA
rnacentral:piRNA from 1 species